UUGAGAACGGGCGCCGCCACCGCAAGAUCAUCCGGCGGGAGAGGAAGCGGCGGCACGGUUCUGGUGGCCCGUCGCGCGGCCCUGCGAGGUGCCCACCGGGGCCAUGGCGGAGCCGGGCGGGACAUCGUCAGGUACGGGCGGAGCCGGCGGGAGCUCCGCGGGGUCCGGCGGGACCGACCCAGCAUCGUUGCCCCCUGGCGACGCGCAACUCAUCGGGCUGAUCGUGGGGCAGCUCAAGAGCCGCGGCCUCUUCGACGCCUUCCGCAGAGACUGCCUGGCCGACGUCGACACCAAGCCAGCCUACCAGAAUUUGAGGCAGAAAGUGGACAACUUUGUGUCUACCCACCUGGAUAAGCAGGAAUGGAACCCGACAAUGAACAAAAACCAGCUGCGGAAUGGCCUCAGGCAGAGUGUGAUUCAGUCAGGGAUGCUGGAAGCUGGAGUGGACAGAAUUAUUUCUCAGGUGGUGGAUCCAAAACUGAACCACAUCUUCAGGCCACAGAUAGAGAAGGCAAUUCAUGAUUUCCUGGCUGCACAGAAGAAAGAAGACUCGGUGCCAGCUCCUCCCCCGGAGCCCGAGAGCCAGGACCCACCUGCUCCAUCACAAGAUGCCUCGUAAGGUCUGGUAUGGCUGUACCCUCCACCCUCGCUCUCCCCUUGUGCCGGUAGCUGGUAACUCUUUUAUGUCAUCACUUAUGCAAGAAAUGUAGAUUACACCCGCUAGAAGGCCAGAACAUCGGAUUCAAUGGGAUUUGGUGCAUUUCUGGCUCUAGAGUGGCUAUCGCUGCAAAAUCCAAGCUGAAUCUGAUUGGCAGUGGGCUACCUACUGCAGGCAUGCAGUUUGGUAGCUAAUGCCAAGCACCACUGAGGGCGAGUGUUGGCAAGAGUCACAAGGGGGUUCUCCAGGGCAUGGAGGGGCAGGCUGAACUGUGCUGAGGUCAUUGCUCUGGGCAGAAGAAGCAUCUCUUCUUGCGAAUUGUCUUUGGGGGUGGGUUGCCUCUCGUGAGUGACCACGAUGAGGGAAGGGGGUUCUGGUGUGAUCCUUGUGAAACUGGUGAUGUUUGCGAUGUAGUGGUAGAAGAAAGAGCAUUUGGGGUACGGUUGUUUUUCUGGGUGGCCACUGUCUCGGUCGGAAAGCCUUUAGAGAGGUCUGGGCAAGGGAGCCUUCAGCAUACAAACGGGAAGCCGAUCGUUUGCCGGCAGAGGAUCACAGAGCAUUAGAAGCUGGCCCGAAUGCAGCAAUAACUCUUGCACAGCGUCUGUCCAACAUCAUGGCAAGAACCGUUCACCGUCGGCUUUGCAGGAGUAUUGAGAGACUGACCUCUGUUGGAUUUCUGGAAAUGGCGUCUGAUACACCUCCCGGCCUGUCACACGUCCCAGGCGGAUGGAGGAAGCAGGUGCAAAGCAGGAGACUUCUUCUAUGGACCUUGCAAUUGAAGGACAUCUUCUUGUCAGGGAGAUUUUCAGGUGCCUGUUAGAAGUAGCUUAGGGACUCUCCCAAGCUCUCAAAUAGACAUUUGUGCUCCAGGAUUUGGCUACAAAUCUCCAGACUUUUUAAAAUAAUAAAAAUAUUGGAAAAGC